UACGUAGGGGGCUAGCGUUGUCCGGAAUCAUUGGGCGUAAAGCGCGCGUAGGCGGUUAGGUAAGUCCGGUGUGAAAGUCCAAGGCUCAACCUUUGAAUGGCGCUGGAUACUGGCUGACUUGAGUCCGGUAGGGGCGAGUGGAAUUCCUGGUGUAGCGGUGAAAUGCGGAGAUAUCAGGAGGAACACCAAUGGCGAAGGCAGCUCGCUGGAACGGUACUGACGCUGAGGCGCGAAAGCGUGGGGAGCGAACAGG
rnacentral:rRNA from 1 species